rnacentral:rRNA from 1 species
UACGUAGGGUGCAAGCGUUAAUCGGAAUUACUGGGCGUAAAGCGUGCGCAGGCGGUUUUGUAAGUUUGUCGUGAAAUCCCCGGGCUCAACCUGGGAAUGGCGAUGAAGACUGCAAGGCUAGAGUUUGGCAGAGGGGGGUAGAAUUCCACGUGUAGCAGUGAAAUGCGUAGAGAUGUGGAGGAAUACCGAUGGCGAAGGCAGCCCCCUGGGAUAACACUGACGCUCAUGCACGAAAGCGUGGGGAGCAAACAGG